rnacentral:ncRNA from 19 species
AAAAAACAAAAAAGCUGCGGUUCCCGGAAGGGAUCAAAUCGGAAGCACGGUGCAACGCCGUCACAACCGCCAUUACCGUGAUCGAGUUUUGCUCUGCACAGGCCAUUGCGCAAGCGAGAAGGCGCAGAGUGAGUAUAUCGUAAGUCGGGACACCCGCCGCAGGCUUUGGAUCGCAA